AACGUAGGAGGCAAGCGUUAUCCGGAUUUACUGGGCGUAAAGCGCGGGCAGGCGGUUUUGCCAGUCUGAUGUGAAAUCUCUCAGCUCAACUGGGAGCAGCCAUUGGGAACUACAGAACUGGAGUCUGACAGAGGUAGGCGGAAUUCCGGGUGGAGUGGUGAAAUGCGUAGAGAUCCGGAGGAACACCAGAGGCGAAGGCGGCCUACUGGGUCAGUACUGACGCUGAGCCGCGAAAGCCAGGGGAGCGAACGGG
rnacentral:rRNA from 1 species